GAUGAACGCUGGCGGCGUGCCUAAUACAUGCAAGUCGAGCGAACAGACGAGGAGCUUGCUCCUCUGACGUUAGCGGCGGACGGGUGAGUAACACGUGGAUAACCUACCUAUAAGACUGGGAUAACUUCGGGAAACCGGAGCUAAUACCGGAUAAUAUAUUGAACCGCAUGGUUCAAUAGUGAAAGACGGUUUUGCUGUCACUUAUAGAUGGAUCCGCGCCGCAUUAGCUAGUUGGUAAGGUAACGGCUUACCAGGGCGACGAUGCGUAGCCGACCUGAGAGGGUGAUGGGCAACGCUGGAAGUGAGAGAAGAUCCAGACGAAUAGGGGAGGCAGCAGUAGGGCAGCGGCCGAAAUGGGCGAAAGAUUGACGGAGCAAAGAAGUGUGAUUGAUGAAGAUAUUAGGAUCGUAAAACACUGUUAACAGGGAAGAACAAAUGUGUAAGUAACCAUGCACUUCUUGACGGCACCCAACCAGAAAGACAGGGCUAAAUACGUG
rnacentral:rRNA from 1 species